rnacentral:misc_RNA from 1 species
AGAAGUGGCAUCCACUUUAGUCGUCCAACCAACUGAGUUACACUUGCAUCCAUCACCAUGAAGAAAUAAUCAGGUAUACCGAUUUUCAAAUUUAAACGCAACACUAGCACCAAAUCUAGCAUUCCUGAUAGACCAAACAAUAACUGAGUCCAAAAGAGCAGGUCUCGAAAAGAAUGGUCUUUUAAUCCAUAUUGGUACAGUAUAGCCCCUAAUAGUGAUCCAAUGGAGGCUACUGCUGAUAUGUAUCCAAUAUACUCCUUUGAAAAAUGUGGUCCUCCCUUUGCAUCUGUUGCCCAGUAGAACAUACCUUCCUGGAUAUCU